GAUCAUUCACCUGUCCCUGGGGGUGUUUUUUAGUUGGUGGCUCUUCUACCAUUGUUGCUGGGUAGACCAAUGGUGUACACAUAAUAACUUUAGAAUGAUCAAGAUACCUGGGUGGAGUAGUUGCCUUGGAUUAGAUUGAUUCUGUCUCCAUGUCAUCCCAAUGAUCCUUGAGUCUCAUAAUGAUAUCCUCAAGAAAAGUUUCAAUCUCCUUAAUCAUAAAAGAUUGUAGGCAUGAUAGUGAAUCCAUAAAUUGCUGUGACUGUUCUUCUAUAUGGUUUUCUAAGUGUUUAAUACAUUCAUCUCUAGCUAGCAUCUGGGUGGCAUGGAAACUGCCAUCCAGGAAUUGAAGUUUAGCCUUGAGGUUGUGAUUUGCCCCAGCAAUCAACUUGAUGGACCUUUCUAAUUUGUCAGCCCUGUUCUGUAUAUCAUCUUCCAAAUACUCAAACCUAGAUUUAACUCUAUUAUCUACUCUCUCAUGUUUUUCAGACAUUGAUUUAAUGACAUUAUCCAAUUGUUUAAACCUAACCUGGGUAUAUUGCAUUCUAGUAUCCAGAUUACAGGAUAGAGAGCCUAUCUGAGUUUCUAGUUGGCUACCAAUUUGCUUUAGUUCAUCACGGUCUCUGACCACUUUGCCUGUAUCGUAUCAGACAUAGAGCAAAGCCUAUCAUCUACCUUCUGUUUUACAUGCUGCAUAAACUUAUCAUGGGUCAGUCUGGUCUCCAAAACCUCAUUAUGUAAAGCUUGCAUGUCCUGUAGGCAUGUGGUAAAAUUAGCUUUAUCCCUGAGGCCUCUAGCUAGCGAUAAUGCGUGCAUUAGCAUGCUAACAGCUGGUAAGGCAUAUAGGCCAAUUAUUGGCUGAUCAACAACUUCCUCAAACAUUGAAUUUACAUUAGAAGUGAAAAUGUUACAAAUUGAGGCAAAUGAUAAAUGUUAGGCCAUAUUUACCAGUCUGCUUCCACUCCAGUUGCAGUAACCAAUUUUGACCAACAGGUGGCACAGGUGAUGCAGAUGUUCAGUUGUGGUUGUGUUGAGUUGGACCUGAAAUUUCUUGAAAAAUCCUUACUCAGCAUUUAAGAACAGAUUGGGGGUGUGUUUACUAGGUAUGGGAAAACCUUCAAGCCAGAGCAUUCCAGGAACCACAAGGCAGCAGUUUUCUGCAGUGAGCUAAGACCAUGACUACCUAAAACCAUUGAAGUCUCCAAAAGCCCCGCAAUGACAAUUUCAUGAUGACUAUGACAGCAACAUUAAGCUGAACAGCUCCAAUUGAAGUUUGGCUUUGAACUACAAACAAUUUUGAAGUGGCCAGCUAAGAUGAUCAAGCCUCACAGACACUACUCAGAACAAUUUCAAUGUGGCUAGUUUAGGUAAUCCAGACUCACAGAUUAGAGUACUAGUCAGGACUAGAAACAAGCCCAGAUGCCAAAUGAUACAGCUUGACAAUUAACCCUUUUUUCAGGAUCCCCUAAAGAUCACCCCCAGACAGCAUGAAGUAAAUUUAAGAACAUGAUGCAUAUAUCCCAAAUUAAAUUAGGUACAAGUCCUAUCUUGGACUCAUCAAGAUAGGAUAGAUAUUAGGGUUAGGGUUAGGGUCAAUUGUUAAUGAACUAGACAUUUUUGAUGUAUUUAUUGAAUGUUUAUGUUGCAUAUAGUUAUUAUACUUAUUGUAUACAGUUUUUCUUAUAUUUAUUUUUAGACAAAAGGGGGAA
ensembl:lncRNA